rnacentral:rRNA from 1 species
UACGGGGGGGGCAAGCGUUGUUCGGAAUUACUGGGCGUAAAGGGUUCGUAGGUGGCCUGCUAAGUCAAACGUGAAAUCCCUCAGCUUAACUGGGGAACUGCGUCUGAGACUGGUGGGCUUGAGUGCAGGAGAGGAACGCGGAAUUCCAGGUGUAGCGGUGAAAUGCGUAGAUAUCUGGAGGAACACCGGUGGCGAAGGCGGCGUUCUGGACUGCUACUGACACUGAGGAACGAAGCCAGGGGAGCAAACGGG